UAGAAGAGAGGAUGUCCUAGAAACACCUGGAGGCUUGACUCGGAGUCAGAGUUAAAGACACAGGAUGUGACAUGACAGGAUGCAGCUAAAGCAGCUCCGAAUCGAGUUCGUAAGACGUUGGAGGACUGUCGUUGAUGGCCUAUGUUCCUCACAGAACGACAGGCCGAAAAGAGUGCUCUUUCAACACUGCAUGGAAAUAUAAGCAGUAAUAUGCCUCAAAUUUUGAAGAAUCCUCAAUUCAAAUCCAGACUGCGGCAGCCCUACAUGUAGCUGUUGGACUCGUAUGGGAUAACAAUAAUCAAAAGCCACGAUAUCCACGCAUGGAUUUUAUCUCAUCUUGAAUAAAUGUAGGGAAAUCACAUACAGUCUAUUUUCUGAUAGAAACUGAAAGAGAGAGGGCUUUACAUUGUCCUUUUGAAUUUGCUAGGACGUUUUUUUAUGAACUUUAAAUUACCGCUCAUGUACAUAUUUUUGUUGAAAGAUAAAGUACACUUAUUUACACAAAUACUGAUUAGCUUCAACUAAAUAGUAAGGAUUUAAAUUUGCCAUGGAUAUUUUAAUUUUACCAAUUUGACCAAGGUGUUUGCAG